rnacentral:rRNA from 1 species
UACGUAGGGUGCAAGCGUUGUCCGGAAUUAUUGGGCGUAAAGAGCUCGUAGGCGGUUUGUCGCGUCGGCUGUGAAAACCUGGGGCUCAACCCCGGGCCUGCAGCCGAUACGGGCAAACUAGAAUUCGGUAGGGGAGACUGGAAUUCCUGGUGUAGCGGUGAAAUGCGCAGAUAUCAGGAGGAACACCGGUGGCGAAGGCGGGUCUCUGGGCCGUUACUGACGCUGAGGAGCGAAAGCGUGGGGAGCGAACAGG